UGAUCAAUACUUACUUCAACUUGAGCUUGUUGGUAAACAAGUAAUUCCUCAAAUGAUCAAGAAAAAUGCAGAGCAAGGGCGGCCUGUUUCUUGCCUCAUAAACAACCCUUUCAUUCCUUGGGUUACAGAUGUGGCCACAAGUCUAGGUCUCCCUUCUGCAAUGCUUUGGGUUCAAUCCUGCGCUUGUUUUGCCUCAUAUUACCAUUACUAUCACGGUACUGUACCUUUCCCUGAUGAGGAGCACCCCGAGAUAGAUGUCCAAUUACCAUGCAUGCCUCUCCUAAAACAUGAUGAAGUGCCUAGUUUCUUACAUCCUACAACUCCUUAUCUAUCUUGAGGAGGGCUAUUUUAGGUCAGUACAAAAAUCUUGACAAGCCAUUUUGCAUCCUGAUGGAAACAUUCGAAAGCUUGAACCAGAGCUUAUCAAGCACAUGUCCGAAAUCUUCCCCAUCAAGGCCGUUGGGCCACUAUUCAGAAAUCCCAAGGCACCACAGAGACAACGGUCCAUGGAGACUUCUGAAGGCAGAUGAUUGCAUCGAAUGGCUUGACACAAAGUCACCUUCAUCAGUUGUUUAUGUGUCUUUCGGUAGUAUCGUCCAAUUGAAGCAAGAUCAAUGGAACGAGAUCGCUGAUGGGUUAUUGAAUUCGGGCGUCUCCUUCUUGUUAGUUAUGAAACCAGCCCACAAAGGUGCAGGACAUGACCUCCCUGUUCUGCCAGAUGGGUUCUCGAAGAAAGCAGGAGACAGGGGCAGGGUGGUGCAAUGGAGUCCUCAAGAGAAGGUUUUAGCUCACCCAUCAGUUGCGUGCUUUGUAACACAUUGUGGGUGGAACUCUACUAUGGAAGCACUCACAUCAGGCAUGCCAGUGGUGGCUUUCCCUCAAUUGGGUGAUCAAGUAACUAAUGCAAAAUAUCUGGUCGACAUCUUUAAGGUUGGUGUGAGAAUGAGCCGCGGACAAGCAGAGAACAAACUGAUUACUCGUGAUGAGAUAGAGAAAUGCUUGUUGGAGGCCACAGCGGGACCUAAGGCAGUGGAAAUGAAGGAGAAUGCAAUGAAAUGGAAGGAGGCAGCGGAGGCAGCAGUGGCUGAGGGUGGUUCCUCCGACUGGAAUAUACGAUAUUUUACGGACGAUAUUGUAAAAGCGAAUGAGUCUGAGAUUGCUGGGAAGUGCAUUGGUUCUAAUGAGUUUCCAGUGUCGGUACGUAGUGGUGAAGUCCAGCGAGGAAGUGGUUGAACUGGUGGGGUCAUCGGCAUGAGGAGAUUUGCUAUAUAUGCAGUUAAUAUGGAACGGGUUUAAUCCAGUACUGUUAGUAUGAUGAAAUUAAUUACUCUUGUUAUGUAGUUGUCUACUCUUUACUUCUUUUAAUUAGCUAUUAAUAACAUACAGAUGCCAUAAAAAGGCCAUAUGUAUGGUUGUUGUUAAUUUGCAAGUAUCUAAUUAAUAAGAAUUUGAUCUUGGGCUUUGACCUACUCAGUUCUGGUGGCCAACAAUGGCAUUGUUAUAUUUUCCGGCAAGAGUUAAACCAUAAAAUUAGCACGAUUUCUUUUUAGUUAGUCAUGAUCAAAGAUACAGCACACAGAACCUCAACUACACAUUCAUUUAAUUUAAUUAGAAAAGGAGCCUAACCCACCGAGCAGAACGUGUUCCUUCUUCUCAAGCCACGAGACGGUCCUCGUCGCCAUCUCCUCAUGCUGUGACUCGUUCUGGUCAACCUGCUCACCAGCAGCUUUGGCCUAAACUUUGUUAUGCUAACUCUCUGUCUACACUUCCUGUUUUAGACUUUUAGUUGGACUUGAAAUUGAGCAUUUGAUUUCAUCUAAUUUGGUCUGGAUCUGUUACUUCAUGUUUAACCAAGCUUUUAGACAUUUGAAUUAUGGAUGUGCUUUGAAAGUACUGCUGGAGGAUCCGUGGAGAUGUUCCAUUAUGGAUGCUUAGUGAGAUGCAACGAGAAUUAUGAAAUCAUUGCUGAUGAUACAGAAGAUGCAGACAGUACUUUUGUUUUUUCGGAUACUGCUAGCUACUACUACGGUCCUUAAUGACACUACCUGGAAGGAGUUUUCCUGCAUUGAACAAACAAUGGCCUGGUUUUGAUUUUGCUUUUUCCAGCAUUCUUGUGUUUCAUGGUUGAACAAGUAUGCUGCUUCGAUUCUUUGUCUUUCGUAGAUCCUUGGUCUCAGCAUAUUUGUUCUGGUUUUCUUGUAUUUCUAUUAUAAGAUGUUUUAAUACAUUCUAUUGCCUGUCCAAAAACAAUUCUGGCACUGCUCAGUGCUAGUCUCGAAAAAGAAAAAAUAUGAAGCUUUUUAUCGAGCUAAUAAUAAUCGCUACGGUAUUUGAGUUUGGUCAUAGAACCUUCAACAAAUAAUAUUUUUUUCGUUUGGUGAAAAAAAUAAAAUCAAUGCCUCUUUUUUUCUCGUUGAACUAUAGAUCUCGUUCAAUUAAAUCUUUCCAUUGUGUUUACAUUCUUUUCAAUCAGAUCCUUUUUCUAAAUUGGGAAUAAGACUUUCAUCUUCAUUUUAAUUAUUUUUUUAGCCAAAUAGCACCUUAAUGUGUCUAAUUUUUUAACCAUUUAAUUUUAUUUUUUUAGCCAAAAAGCCUGUUAUCUAAUUUUAUUUCAAUAUAUUAGUGUUAGUUAAUGUAUUUAAUGUGCUUUUUCAUAGAGUUUUUAAUCGAAUGAUGGUAUCAUAAGAGCAAUGAAAACAUGUUACUAACACACUUGAUGUUUUGUUAAAAAAAAACCACCAAAAAAAAGUAACAGUACCUCAAAAUUAAACAAAAAAGAAGCUGGAAACAUUAAUUAAUUAAUUAUAUAUACCUGCUAGCUAGAUAGAAGUUUCUAUGUUGUUAUGAUAAAAAUAAUGAAUUAAAAAAUAAUAAUAAAUAAAUAUUAUUUUAAUAUAUUUUCAAAUAAAAAAUAUUUUAAAUAACAAUUAAUAGCUAUCACAUACCACUAAAUUUGAUUUUUCUUAUUAGUGUAACUUGUUUGGGUUGAACAUUAAAAAGAUGUAUAAACUCUAAUCUCAAUAUCAUUUUCUAAAAAUAUGAUAUAGUACGAGCAUAAUACAAUAUUAAUUAUGAAGGCUAAUUAAUUGGUCAAUGGUCAAAGAACUGCAUAUGUAAAUCGUGCGCUCUAAUUGUUGUUGGGUACUGUUUAUUGUAUACUAAUCAUUCUUGUUUAUUGAUAAUCAUCAACAAAACCUAGGGAAAGCUUCGUUUAUAAAUUAAUCAGCAGCAAAGAUCAUCAUGAACGUCAAGCAUAUACAAGUUUCAUUCAAUAGAAACACAAUUAAGCAUAGGAUUAAUCACUUGUGAGCAAGGACGCUGCUGUUUGUUUUUCUUUUUCUCUGUAUUUUCCUUCUGCCUUUCUUUUGCAAUCUACCUUUUUUUAUCAUGGUGGUAGGUCAUAAGUGGGUAUGAGUUGUGUCGGGGUUUGAGUUUUUGAAGAGAGCUAAACGGACACUGCAAAGGAAGGAAAAAAUACCCUUCUUUCCUCCUUGCACGUCAAGAAAGAAAAACACCUAGUUUAAUAUCAUUUUGAGUUUUUUUCAUAAUAAUACAUGAAACAAAUUAUUUUGAACAAAACACGUUGUUUGAUUUAAAAAAAAUGACGUUAAAAUGUGUUAAUUUUCAAAUCAAUCUUAAUUUUUUAUUUGUUAAUCAAGUCUUAAUUAAAUUUUAAUUUUAAAAAUCAACUCAAUUGUAUCCCUGCUAAAAUCAGAUGUCAGUCCUAAAGGUGGCCGUCCUUUUCACUUUGGUAUUUGAUCUUGGAUAUUUAGCAAAUAUUUAAUGAUAUUUGGAAAUAAGAUUUUUAUUUUUUAAAUAUUUAAUUUAAUUUAAUUACCAUAAUAAAAAAAUAAGAUGACAUUUAACAAAUAAGACCUCCAAAAUAAUUUGUAACGGAAAAUCUUUUAAUUCUACAAGCACGGCUAUUACUGUGCAAGCUGUGAUCAUUCUAGCGGCGUGGAAGCCUAAAUUAAAUAACUAUAAUAAAUAUAUAAUAAUUAAUAGCAAGGUUUAGCAACAGAAUGCUCAAACUUUGAGUUUAUAUAUAUAUAGAAAAAGGCCAACAAGUCUUUUUUACUAUAUAAUUAUAAGAAAUUAGAGCUGUUAGAACUCAACAUUCAUCGAAGAAAGCUGGCUUUGCUCUGUUUACUUGGGUUGAGUGUUGAAAUCACACUGAUAAGCGGUUAGUUAACUCCAUUUUUAUAAUGUUGAUAUCAGGCUGCGGAGAUCGCUUGCCGUCCGCCGAGAGUUUGGGACCAGUAGCUAUACUAAUCUCUUUCUGGGUGGUUUUCCCUUGACCGCAUUUGUUUUUUUUUUUUUUUUUUUUGGCGUGGAAUAGAAGGGGCAAUACUUGAGCCCAUCCAGGGAGGGACGCACCUGUCAUGUUAGCAAAAAACAUAAUAAUAAUAAAUACCCCUCCUCCAAUAAUAUUAUUUAUGCAAUAGUUUUUUUUUUAAUUUUAAGUUUAUCAUUAUUUAACCUUAAAUUUAUUAAAAAAUAAUUUUUUUUUAAUUUUUAAUUUAUUUUUUAUGAGAUUAUUCUAGAUCAAUUCCUCACUCUCUAAUUUAAAAAAAUUAUUUAUUUACAUAAUCAAGUGGUAUGUUUUUUUUGAAUUGUUUUGAUUGGUUAAUAAUAAAAAUAAAUAAAUAAAUAUUAUUUUAAUUUAUUUUUAAAAAAUAUACUUUAUAAAAACAAUCUUUAUUACCAUAUCAAGUAUUGAUAAAAUGGAUUACUAUUUUUAAUUUUUUCUUAUUCUGUUUUUUAUGGUGCUGUUGCUGUUCAAAAAAAAAUAAAAAAAGUAUCAAAAUAAUAAGAGUGAGAGUGUGAGACUACUCGACCAAUUAAAAUGAAUAUCUUUUCAACGAAAAUGAUUACCACUUUUAAUUUUUUCUUAUUCUCUUUCUUCAUGAUGAUGAUUAACAAUUUUUCUAACCGGACCGGAGAAAUAUAAGUUGUCUGGAUGUGGGAAAACCGAUGCUAUUAAAAUAAAAUAAAAUUAAAUAAUGCUUAAUAUAUUGAUACUGAUGGAAUAUUCAUGCCUGCAACAGCAGUUAAUUCUCUAAAGCAAAGAAAAUGAGGUGAACUCCCUUUUUCUAUGAAAUUAUGUGUUUAUCAAUCUUUUAUGGCUUAAUCUAAUCCAGUUCUUGGUAUUGUUAUAUAAUCUGAUUUUUAAAAAUAUUUUUUAUUUGAAAAUAUAUUAAAAUUAUUAUUUUAUAUAUAUUUUUAACAUUAAUUUAUCAAAAUUAUUGAAAAAAAAACUUUAAUUUAAUAACGAAAGUAAUAUUUUUCACUGAAAAUAAAUGUCCUUUCUAUGGAGCCCACAAAUUGAAAACGUCUUCACUGUUCACUACCGACGGAAACGGAAACCUCUUUUGCAUGGGUUUCACUUUUCAGCACCAACAUUAAUGGUUUCCCACCAGCAAUCAGUAAUCCAGGAUCACUUUUCCAUCGACAAACAAUAAUUCAGGACCACGUUUCGUUCGUAGCAAAUAAGUUAAAAGUUUGUGACUGCUUUUUUUUAUUAUUAUUAAUACAACACACAUUCAAUUAAUUAAGAUGUUAUUCGAAAUAAAAUAUUGUUAAAAAAAUGUCCUACAUUCUUGAGUUCUGCCUGUAGAUUGAUUCAACCAUUUCUGUUGGAAUAGCUUUUAUUUUUUUAAUUUUAAGAUAUAUCAUUAAUAUUUUUUAUAUGUGUAAUUUUGAUAUAUUAAUAUUAAAAAAAAACUUUGAAAAAACUAUUUUUUUUUGGUGGAUGAGAGUCAAUGAUGUGUUUGAAAAGUAAUGAAUGAGAGCAACAUUUACCAAACUUCGAAGACAUGACAUGAAGGACAACGCAAUUUCAAAAUGUAUUUCUUGACUAAUAUAAAAACAAGUUAAUUUAAGAAUAGGCCGAUAUAGAGUUUAAAUAGAUUCCUGUUAAAAAAAAUAGAAAAGGGAUACUCUAGAAAUUCCAGGUGUUUAUGAAUUAAUUAGUGAUAUUUUAUUAAUUAUUUUUUUAGUGUUUUUUUAAAUAGAUAUAAAUAAUAGAGAAAAAUUCUAGAUGAAUAUAUUUUUUAUCACUUUUGAUAAGUUAUGAGUUUCAUUUUGUUUUUCUUCUUUGUAUCUGUAUUUUUUUUUUAUACGGAUCUGAAAAAUAAUUAAUAGGAUAUUUUUAGUUAUUUAUUGAAUAUUAUGAAUUUUCUAUAAAUAGCUUGAACUAACCUGAUAAAAAAAAUCUGAUUUGAUUUUGAGUAAAUCGAUAAAAAAUCAGUUUUUAAUCUUUUGAUUUUUUUUUCAAAAUAAAACUAUUUUUUUAAAAUGAUCAACCAUUAUUCAUAUUCAUCAUCCGUCACCCACCAUUGAUUUAAUUGGCACUCUCCUACAAUCACAGCCUCAAUACUAGCUAGCAAUACUCAUCUGCAACAAAAUGCGGUGAUUGUAAAGAGAAACUAGUGUUUUUCUUAGUUCUACCUGUCCUUCAAAUUCGGGACUUUAUAUACAAUGUUCACCAACUAAAUUGAAUUGCUCAACCAUUACUCUAUCUGUUCAUUUGCAUGCCCACAGGUUCAUUACCAUAAUUACAAGAUUAUCAUGGGAUGUUUUCAAACUCGAUCGUUGAAGAUAGUCAUGGGAUAUAUGUUACCUUACUUGUGUUGCUUGUAAAUUGUAAUUUUAUGUUUUAGGCAUUAGCCCCGUUGUUCAUGAUAAAAAACAAAAAGAAAAAGAAAGAAAGAGUGGCGAUGGGUAGUAUAGAAUCCAGGAAGCAACCAGACACAAAGAAUCCAGGAAGCAAACAGACACAAAGAAUCCAGGAAGCAUCCAAACCGAUCGUUUUUCGAACUUUUGACGAACUAGAUACAAAACUAAUAUUACAAAGAAUAUUAAGUACUGUAGAGUCAAUCAAAACUGACGAUGUACUUUUUUUCUGUUUAAAAGCGCACCUAGUCUGUAAAUGGAAAGUCAAAUUCAUUAACUCACAAUUUUUUAUUAAUAUUAUUAUACAUCUACAAUCGUUUUUUUUUUUGUUUAAUUCAGUUUUCAUCUGCACAAUUCUCUGCAAUUUGUUCUUGUAUUAUACAGUUAAGUUGCUUUUUUGUCCACUAUAAUGCUUUUCUAAUCUUAUUAAAGAAGAAUAUCCAGAAAUCUUUCAUAGACAACCAGAAAUCAAGGAAUGAAAUGCAGUUGCACAAGUAACUAAUCUUCAUUAUUCAAUCAGUAUAAGUUGUUGGUUACCCGAUGUAUUGGGUUCCUGAGUGUUUUCCAAAGAUUUUCAAACAUGUCUUAACAACUGAUCAUUUCCAUGAUCGGAAAAAGAGAAUAAUAAUCACCCAUUCCCAAACUCAUACAAAAUUGCAAAUAGAUGUGUCAGCCAACUAACAGUCUCUAUAGAUCUAUCUACUACUAAAAACUUUGAAUGUAGCUCCUUAUAAAUGCUAUAUAUAUCUGCAUCCUUUCAUUCCAUGCUCGGCACUCAUUCCCAAAACUCAUUAAGUCCUCUCCAGUACAUCAAUCUCUACUGUCUCUUUGCCUGUCAAAACAAAAAUGCUUUCCAAGUCUCUUGGCCAUCUCUUCCUUGUUUCUUUCCCAGCCCAGGGCCAUGUAAAUCCUUUACAUAGACUUGGAAAAAUUCUUGCCUCCAAAGGCUUCCUUGUCACCUUCUCCACCACUGAAACCUUUGGCAAACAGAUGAGAAAAGCCAGUAGCGCCAUAGAUAAGCUGACCCCGUUUGGUGAUGGCUUUAUCCGGUUUGAAUUCUUUAAAGAUGGAUGGGAAGAGGACGAAGAUAGGUACAAAAACCUUGAUCAAUACUUACUUCAACUUGAGCUUGUUGGUAAACAAGUAAUUCCUCAAAUGAUCAAGAAAAAUGCAGAGCAAGGGCGGCCUGUUUGUUGCCUCAUAAACAACCCUUUCAUUCCUUGGGUUACAGAUGUGGCCACAAGUCUGGGUCUCCCUUCUGCAAUGCUUUGGGUUCAAUCCUGCGCUUGUUUUGCCUCAUAUUACCAUUACUAUCACGGUACUGUACCUUUCCCUGAUGAGGAGCACCCCGAGAUAGAUGUCCAAUUACCAUGCAUGCCUCUCCUAAAACAUGAUGAGGUGCCUGGUUUCGUAAAUCCUACAACUCCUUAUCCUAUCUUGAGGAGGGUUUUUUUAGG
rnacentral:lncRNA from 1 species